rnacentral:lncRNA from 1 species
AGUGAGAACUUGUCUCAAAAAAAGAAAAGAAAAUGUAUCCAGGAGGUAGGACCAAAAAACAUUUAAACUCUUUGUGUCCAGGAAUAGAGCAGAGACCUUGAAAAGGCAGAAUUAAGUAUAAUUGCUGUGGUCUGAAUGUUUGUGUCCCCCGCUAAUUCGUAUGUUGAAAUUCUAACCCCCAAGGUGAGGAUGGUAUUUAGAAAGCAGGCCUUUGGAGGCCUAGGGCAUGAGGGCAGAGUCCUAUGAAUCAACUAAGUGCCCUUUUAAAAGGGCCUCUGCCCCUUCCACCAAGUGAGGACACAGCAAGAAGUCAUGCUCUAUGAGAAAGCUGGCUCUCACCAGACACCAGAUCUGCUGGCACCUUGAUCUUGGACUUCUCAGACUUCAAAACUGUGAGAAAUAAGUUUCUGUUGUGUAUUAGCUACCCAGUUUACGGUAUUUUGUUGCAACAGCAUGAACAACCUAGGACAAUAAUUUUAAUGUGUAAAAUUAAAUUUAAAUGUUAAAUUAAGUUUAGCCUAAAGCUACUUCCUUACAUAUUUUAAGUUCAGCCUAAAGGUUUCUCCAUACAUAGUGAACUGUAACCUAACUGAAUGUGCAAACAGACUAUGACCUGCUCUUGUGACAAGCAGCUGAGGCUCAGCCAAUCACAGCAGCUGAGUUUCAGCCAAUCACAGGUGGCCAACUGUUUGUAUAAGGCAAACACCCAGCUGUCACCAAUCCAGCUGUUUCUGUACCUCACUUCUGUCUUUAGUCCGUCACUUUCCUUUCUCCAUAAAUGUUAUUCAACCACGUAGUAGCCCCGGGUUUGCUCUGAACCUGUUCUGGUUCUGGGGGCAGCCCAACUAUUGUAUCAUUCUCUGCUCAAACACUGUUAAAUUUAAUUUGUCUAAAGUGUUUCUUUUAACAAAGAGAAGGUGUAUUAGAUUUCCACCUAAUUUGAAAAUUUCAAAGCCAUAAUGGAGAAGCGCAGGCACUACUGGUCAUUUUUGUCCAGUAGAUGGAGCCCUAGUAGAAAGGAAACAGUCUGGCAAGUAUCAAAAUUUCUCAGAGGAAGAUUUGAACGGGGAAUUCACUGUGGAUUCCACACCCUAAGAGUCCAUUAGGCAGCCUGCCAGAGUUCUCCCCAGCCAGUCUGAGUGAGAACUCCCAGCGGAAGGACCCUGAAAUGAACUAAUAAAGUAACCAGCAGGACAAAGCAAUGUGCCAUGGAAAGAACAACAGAUUUGAUUUUAAUCCGAAUGCCAAGAGUUUGUUUUUGCAAACAUACAAAACUUUAGGAAUUAAGGUGGGUUGGAGGUGGAUUUGUGAUACUCAUUGGAUUAGAAAUAAAAGGUUAACAAGUAUAUUAAAAUUAAAGCCAUAAGGCUGUGAUUUUAUGGUGUGUAUGUAUUUGAGGGAAAGAGGAAAAAAUACAUUUAAAAGGCUUGUAAUUCCCUAAAUACCCAUGACUUAUUAAUUAUACAUGGAGUAAUUAAUAAUACAUAGAGUAAUUAUUACAAUAAUACAUGGAGUAAUUAAAAUUUCUGCAACAUUUGAUUAUCAAGAUGUGAUAUAAUUUAUUGAAUUGGAUUAUAGUUUGUGGAUGUGCUUAGCGCUCUACUACUUUUUAAAAUGCUCUCCCACACAUCAUCAUCAGAGCACAUCUCAGAGAUGGAAAUUUGUGAUUUGCCCAAGGUUAGUGGGGCAACUGAUAAAAAAAGGAUCCUGUCUUACAUACUCCCACCCUUUGUUGUAAGCUCCUGUUGGAUGCCAAGAAUCACCUGCUGCCUUAGUUCUUUGAACAGGUUUUAUGUGUUUGAUGGAAAAAGGGCACUUUUCAAGAGAGAGAAUAGCUGAGCUUUGAAGAAUGGAAUGACCAGGAUCUGAGUAGAGAGAGUGGCAGGAAGGGGAGCUGGGGCUAGGCAAGCUUGGGUUCACAGAGCUGCCCCUCUCUUAUCUACCUGGUGGAGGGGGAGUAGAGAUCAUGAUACUCCAACCCCUCUCUUCAUGAACCUGGAGUAGGGAGAGUAGAAGAGAGAGGGAACAGGGGAAUCUCAUAAGAUUGCUUGGUAGCAUAACGACCUCGGCGAAUUUAAAGUGGAACUGAGGUCCUUAGUCUUAGUCCAUUUGUGCUGCUAUAACAAAGUAUCUUACACUGGGUAAUUUAUAAACAACAGAAAUGUAUUGCUCACAGUUCUGGAGGCUGGGAAGUCCAAGAUAAAGUGCCAGCAGGUUCAAUGUCUGGUAAGGGCUCAUUGCACAGAGAUGGUACCUCUUGCUGCAUUCUCACAUGGUAGAAGGGAGCAAACAGCCUCCUUUUAAUCUCCUUUACAUUAUCCCAUUUAUGAAGGCAGUCUUCAUGACUUAAUCACUUCCCCCAAAGUCUCCACCUCCAUGCUAUGACAUUGAGGAUUAAGUUUCAGCCUAUGAUUUUGGAAAGCAUACCAACAUUCAGACCAUAGAACCAGCCAAUGAGAUUGUGGGCUAUUCUUCCACCAUACUCAAUGGGCAAAGACAUGGAGUAGGGCAGAGAGCUGGAUUUAACCAGGGUUGGAGUUUGGCCAAUUGGAUAAGGAAGUUGAGGACAGCAAGUCACAGUCACAGUCUGAGCCAAUUCUCAGUGGCCAGGGCUAUAGAAGGACACAGGCCAUAAGAAGAUAAGGAGGAACCUUGCACUGCUGGCCUCUGACAGUGAGUAGAACCCAAUCUCUCUCUAAGCCAGUGACCCAAUUUCCUCUGUCUUAAACAGCUCAUAGUACAGCUGGCUCUUUCUCAUUCUUCAGGCUGCUGUGAAAUCUUCCCUGACUUCCCCAGCAUAGGACACAGAUCCUCCCUGCUGUUCUUAAUAACACACUUUUUUUUUUAUUUCUUUCAGGGCUUCUCACCAUCUGGUUAUUUUAUUGAUUUGUUUACAUGUUUAUUGUCUGUUUUUCCCACCAGAAUGCAAGCUCCACAAGGCCAGGAAUCUUUCCUGUCCAAUUCACCACAGCAGCCUCAACCUGGCAGACAGUUCAGCAUACAGCUAAAUAAUGGCUCCCAAAGAUGUGUCUACAUCCUAAUCUCCAGAAUCUGUGAAUGUUACUUUAUGUGGCAAGUACGUGGCAGAUGUAAUUAAGUCAAGGAUCUUUGGAUGGUUAUCCUGAAUUAUCUGGGUGGGCCCUAAAUACAAUCACAAGUGUCCUUAUAGGAGAGAGGCUGAAGGAGAUUUGGUACCAACAGAAGAGGAGGAGGAAAUUGUGAUCAUGCAGAAACUGGAGUGAUGGAGUCACAAGCCAAGGAAUGCCAGCAGCCACCAGAAGCCGAAAGAGGCCCUGCCAACACCUUGAUUUAGGCCUAAUGAAACUGAGUUUAGAUUUCUGGACCCCAGAACUGUGAAAGAAUAAAUUUCUGUUGUGUUAAGCCCCUAAUUUUGUGGUAAUGUGUCACAGCAGCCCUUGGAACCUAAUACACUCCCCAAGCCAUCACAAUGACGGUUAAGGGAAGUAAAACGAUAAAAUUCAUAAAGAUAAAGAGAAUAACAGAAAAGGAUUUCAAUAAGUGUUUGGAAGAUGGAAAAGGAAAGAAUGAGAAGCAACUUACUUAUCAGAGUAGAGAAAAUUACCUGAGAGCCUGGAGAAAGGGAAGUGAAUAAGACAGAGUCAGUUCUCCCCAGAGAAGCCAGACACAGGGUCAUUGAGCACCAAGCAGGGGCAGGAGUGGGGUGCAGGGCUGGCACUGGGGAUAGAGUGGAAACAUUAACAUGGACCUUGGAUCCCUGGGCCCUGACUCCUCUGACACUGGUCUUCCUGAACUAGCUGCAUCCCUUCUUGUCAUGCCCUCCACUCCAGUCCCUGCCCUUGACCCCACCACCACCACCUCAGCUGACACACAUCAGUUCAGCUCACACUCCUUCUGUUAGAAAGAACCAGUCACAAGGUUCUUCCUGAAUGCAAUGGGGCUGGGAAAUGCUGAGCAGUGCCAGGCACAGGCUUCCUCUAAACCACUCUGCACCAAGGAAGAAGGACAUUUUUUUGAUGGUCUAAUACCCGUCUCUGCCACACUCUCUAAGGCAAUUAAUUUUAAAAUUUUAGAAUACUGGAAAUAAAGAAAAGAUACUAAAAACUUCCAGAAUGAAAAACCAGGUCACAUAUUGCCUUAUGGAUCAGCAAUCUGACUGGCAUCAGCCUUUUCAAUAGCAAUACAAAAUGCCAGAAGACAACAGGGCAAUGCCCUCAAAAUUCUGAGAGAAAAUAUCUUGCUAAUAAAACAUCUAUUACACCUAGCAAGCAGCCAUCCCAAAGGCAGAAGGCUGUGAAAGAACAAAAGGGAGCUAUCUAGGGAGAAAAACAUAACUGUUAAUUAUUAUUAUAAUAAUAAUAUAUUUUUAGAGACAAGGUCUCUGUCAACCCAUGCUGAGGUG